GACGUAGGAGGCGAGCGUUGUCCGGAUUCAUUGGGCGUAAAGAGCACGCAGGCGGUUUGGCAAGUCGGAUGUGAAAACCCGGAGCUCAACUCCGGACCUGCAUCCGAAACUGCCCGACUAGAGGUAGGUAGGGGAGAUCGGAAUUCCUGGUGUAGCGGUGAAAUGCGCAGAUAUCUGGAGGAACACCGGUGGCGAAGGCGGCAUCCUGGACCGACACUGACGCUGAGGAGCGAAAGCCAGGGGAGCAAACGGG
rnacentral:rRNA from 1 species